CGUGGGGCUAAAAGUGUCUGACAGGAAAAUCAAAGACUUCAGCUCUUCUGAGUUCAUGCUGCUUGUCUGUCUGACUCAGGAUUCCCUUGGGAGAAGCUUGCUUCUGAGUGUCAGAGGAAAAAGUCACUCUCUUUCAACACGUGAGUGGGCGGCAACAAAAGAAAAGCUACAGGCCGCUCUCAUCCCUGAGUGUGUCCCUGGUGAUCUAAAUGCGUCCCCGUUUUGCUGUGAGAGGCUCCAACCCCCCAUGUGACCCUGAACGGGACCAGCGGAAGAAGAAGGAAAAAAUGGAUGGAUGGAUUUACAGUCCUGUAAGUCUUUAUGUUAGCCAUUAGGGAACUCUCAUUCUUCAGUUGACUGUGCGCUAAAUGAGGUUUACUCAAGCAACACAAUGAGAAUCAUUUCAGCCUGAAGUAAAAAAGCAAAACUUUUAUAUCAUUGUAUUGUGGUUUCCUGUUAAUCAGGGUUUACACAACCACCACAGGGGUUCAUCUGCCUCCACCUUAUCCCUUGCAUUCUCUUCUGUCACACCAACCCUCUUCAUU
rnacentral:lncRNA from 1 species